CUCUGUGACUAUACCCAGUUUGGGCUGAUCACAGAAAUAAAGCAGAUUGAGCCUCUUUAGCUCUUCAAUGGAAGGCCACCUAGGAAUAGCAGGUGCUGCAGGCA
rnacentral:rRNA from 14 species